rnacentral:misc_RNA from 1 species
ACAUUCUCCAAAGGGGAGUAGCUUUUACAACAAUGUCGUCAUUACGGGGCUCUUUGCUCUCGGUGUUGUUGGCAGCAUAUUGUUGUUAGCCAGACCUUACCUAUUGGU